rnacentral:rRNA from 1 species
GAUGAACGCUGGCGGCGUGCCUAAUACAUGCAAGUCGAGCGAACAGACGAGGAGCUUGCUCCUCUGACGUUAGCGGCGGACGGGUGAGUAACACGUGGAUAACCUACCUAUAAGACUGGGAUAACUUCGGGAAACCGGAGCUAAUACCGGAUAAUAUAUUGAACCGCAUGGUUCAAUAGUGAAAGACGGUUUUGCUGUCACUUAUAGAUGGAUCCGCGCCGCAUUAGCUAGUUGGUAAGGUAACGGCUUACCAAGGCAACGAUGCGUAGCCGACCUGAGAGGGUGCUAGGCCACACUGGAACUGAGACACGGUCCAGACUCCUACGGGAGGCAGCAGUAGGGAAUCUUCCGCCAUGGGCGAAAGCCUGACGGAGCAACGCCGCGUGAGUGAUGAAGGUCUUCGGAUCGUAAAACUCUGUUAUUAGGGAAGAACAAAUGUGUAAGUAACUAUGCACGUCUUGACGGUACCUUAUCAGAAAGCCACGGCUAACUACGUG